rnacentral:rRNA from 1 species
UGGGGAAUAUUGGACAAUGGGGGAAACCCUGAUCCAGCCAUGCCGCGUGAAUGAUGAAGGCCUUAGGGUUGUAAAGUUCUUUUGUCAGGGAAGAUAAUGACGGUACCUGAAGAAUAAGCACCGGCUAACUUCGUGCCAGCAGCCGCGGUAAUACGAAGGGUGCUAGCGUUGUUCGGAAUCACUGGGCGUAAAGCGCGCGUAGGCGGUUAUUCGAGUCAGGGGUGAAAUCCUGGGGCUCAACCCCAGAAUUGCCUUUGAAACUGUAUAACUAGAGUGUCGGAGGGGAUAGCGGAAUUGCUAAUGUAGCGGUGAAAUGCGUAGAUAUUAGCAGGAACACCGGUGGCGAAGGCGGCUAUCUGGACGACAACUGACGCUGAGGCGCGAAAGCGUGGGGAUCAAACAGGAUUAGAUACCCCCGUAGUCCCUGAGCGGGCUGGCAAGGCGCAU